UACGUAGGUGGCAAGCGUUGUCCGGAUUUACUGGGCGUAAAGAGCGCGCAGGCGGUCGUUCAAGUCGCGUGUGAAAGCCCCCGGCUCAACUGGGGAGGGUCACGCGAUACUGAUCGACUGGAAGGCAGGAGAGGGUAGUGGAAUUCCCGGUGUAGUGGUGAAAUGCGUAGAUAUCGGGAGGAACACCAGUGGCGAAGGCGACUACCUGGCCUGUUCUUGACGCUGAGGCGCGAAAGCAUGGGGAGCAAACAGG
rnacentral:rRNA from 1 species